UAGUCAUAUGCUUGUCUAAAAGAUUAAGCCAUGCACGUCUAUGUAUAAAUGUAUUUUAUACAUGAAACUGCGCAUAGCUCAUUAAACCAGUUAUAGUUUAUUUGAUGUUGACUUGCUACAUGGAUAACCGUAGUAAUUCUAGAGCUAAUACAUGCCAAAAAGACCUGACCGUAUGGAAGGGUUGUAUUUAUUAGAUAAAAAACCAUUCUCGCAAGAGUUUUGUGGUGAUUCAUAAUAACUGUUCGAAGCGCAUGCCGCAAGGCGGCGCUAGAUCAUU
rnacentral:rRNA from 1 species